rnacentral:lncRNA from 1 species
AUUAUGCCUUGGUUGCAGGAAGGCUGGCAAGCAGUGCUUGAAGUUAAUUGAGCCUAAUUCUUCCCAGUGUAUAUAUGUAGAUAAUGUUUUACUCUGUAAAAUGCGUAUUAGCCUACUUCUCUAGCGUCUAAGCUUGAUAUCAGUGAUGUUUGGUGUAACUUUGGAAAAAAAGAGGCACUAGAAAAUUUGUUGUGGGAGGAAAAGUGUAAAUGUUUAACACCUUGUUUCACACCCCUGCUUAACAUCUUCUGGUUUUUGUUAUUAAUGAAAACGCUUGCAAGCCUACCUCAUAGGAGAUAACCUGCUCCUGUUUAUAAUUUCAAGAAAAGAAUAACACUGACCUUCACUGUGUGAUCACUUCCAUUACAGUUUGGUAUCACAAACAGCAGGCUUUUGAAAUAAAUGUUGGCACAGGCAUUCAGAAAUUCAUACUCUAUAUGUGAUACAUACAUACAAAGCCUGUGUUUAUUCUUCUUUUUGAAAAGCCUGAAGAUUUAUCUUGAGGAAAUCCUUGGCUGACUGGGAGAACUUCCAAAAUGUUUUGCCAGAGAGAUGUCACCAUGCCACCUGGUUCUAAGGAAGUUCCAAAAAUACCUUCUUCAGGGGGAAUGAAACAAAUAACCCUUUCCUCAGAGCUGCCUACAGUGACAUCUCCUAAUUGCUCAGAAAACUGGGUCAAGAAUCAUGUCUCCACAAUAACCUUUUCUUAUUCUGUACUAAAAAAACCUCACCACCACCAAAAAAAACAUACACAUGCAGUCAUCAUCUAUGGUACUAUGACCCAACAGUAUAGAAAAAUCUUCAGACAAGGUAAGAAGGCAAGAAUGAGGUAUGAAAAAUAGAUGUAGCAAGUGUCAUGGGAUUGGUAUCACUUCUGCCUCUCCAGCUGCAGAAGUACGGCUGCUGCAGGUGGAGAGAAGGCAUGCAUGGAACUCAUACUGUCUCCUGAGAACAUGAAGCAGAUGGAGUCUGCUGUUUCUUCUGUGGUCUUGUGGUUUGAGCAAACUGAUCUAACCAAUGAUAAGUUUGUUCCUAGCAAAACAGUGGGAAUUUUGUGGCCAUGGCUGCAGAACAGGGGGGAAAAAAAAAAAGACAAGAGGUAGUACAAAGCUACAUUAU